rnacentral:pre_miRNA from 1 species
GAAAACUUGGAAAUUACUGUUGGAUCGAGAAAUAUAUACCCGAGAUUUGUCCACGUCACCAGUUAAAAUUUAACCCGGAGAUUCACUCAUGAGUUAAAAUUUUACUGAGAGUUAAAUUUUAACUCAUGGUGAUGUGGACGAAUCUCGGACGUCCAUUUCUCGAUCCAACGGUAGUUUCCAAUUUUCC